ensembl:lncRNA
UGGGAAUGUUGGUAUUUCAUGAGGGUUCUAAAUAUAUUCCUUUGCUUUCCAUUUGUUCCUUCACUCUUGGCAAGAGAAAUGCAGUGAAGGAGCAGAGAAGUGCUGUGGAGAAGUUCUGCUCAGUUGUUAUCCAAGUCCCUUGGCACAAGGUAUACAAAAAACUCCAGAGAAGCCAAACCCAGAGCUAUCUGUCAGCAGGCUCUGAGAAUCAGUGGUCUGUAGCUGCCUGCAGAUUCUCCAUUUCCCCCGCUCGCUCAUCAUCCCCUGCAAUAAUUGCUUUGCCAAUAAGAAAGGAGUUGAUGGGACCAUAUCUAAAACAAAAAGUCACUGUUUUUCUUCUGGCAAGUGCAAGGUGCUCAGCAAAUAAUAAAGAAAGGGCCACCUAACAAAGAAGCCAUCUGUUCUUCUGCCACAAAAAAACAAAUCCAAAAAAGAGUCUAUUUUGAGUCACUUGCAUGGUUUGUGCAUCCUGCCUUCUCAGUGUGCGUAUACAGUGCAUUUAAGCUCACAUCGGAGACCGUCCUAGUUGGCAUUGGCUGAAGACUCUGUGAAUAUGCUGAAGAUAUGGGCUCCAAGAGAAAAAAACAAGCUGCUGAAAACAAAAUGUUAACACUUUUGUAAAUCUGCCAAGUUUUUCAAUGUAACUGCCAACAGUUUGAUGUUCAGAGGAACUCAGCAGAAUUGCUAACAUGCAUGCUGCAUAAAUGGCUAUUCAUUAGAAAGAUGCUGUACCUUAUAUGUGACUGCUUUCUUUGGCUGGCUAAUAUAUCAAGUAUGGUACUUGUUUUGUACUGUGAAAAACUUUCUCCAUUACCAUAGUAACCUUUUGCAUGUUGGCGGAAGCUGAUGUCAUUCAUGGCAUUAUUCAUUCUUAGUGAAUUGGUCCUCAAAGUGCUAACAAGUUCCAGGGAGCUAAAGAAGACCAAGUAUACAUGCUGGGUAAACAUGAUUUAACCCCUUUGUCUCACCAGGUCCCCGGAGAUACAUAGGUCAUGGAAGGGAAGGCAACUGGACUUCAUCCUGAAACUUCUCCCAUCCUGUUUUCAUAUGUCCAUACACAUGGGAGAGGAAGAAUAUCUGCAUCCUGGCCUGAAGGGGCAGAUAAGAAAAAGAAAACUACUCUUGCCACAAAGAGUAUGACUAAAAUAAGUGGAAGAAGGAGUGGCAUGGAAAUGAAUUUGCUGAAGAUUGGUUCUUGUGGAUUUGUGGAAGUCCUAUCCAGCGUAGCCUUACUGGAGGCUGCAUGAAUUUUAUCACACUUUUCUCUAUAGGUCUGUGUCACAUUUGCAAACCACAAUAGUAUCUUCUUAUGACAGAAGAGUACGAAGAGUAGCAGAGACUACUUCUGAUUCAGGGACAAGUGUUUCAAAGUAACUUCUGUAAUCUAUCUUCCUCGUUUCACAGCCCAAUCUUUCUUAAUAAGGCCUGGAACAUUGGGCAUUAGGUGUAACAAAUAUUCUGCGGUCAAAGAAAUUCUACCUGUGAGAGGUCUUCUUGAAAUAGAUGUGGGAUUUCUGGAAGGCACAGAUUACCAUACAAAAUAGAUGUUUCUCACCUGCUGGCACAAUAUUAUUUCCCCUGUUCUGUCUUCUGCUUUUGUUUCAUGUAUUUCUGCUCUAAGACUCCAUCCUACAUAUGAAGGAGAGAACUUGACAGCUUAGAUUCUUCAACCAGGGUCAAGUAUGCUAAGAAUGUCUUGUUGCAGAAUUCAAAAAUCUGUGCUGGAAUUAUCUCCAAAGUCCUCUACAGCAUGUUAAUACACAAUUGUUUUUUUGUUUUUUUUUUUCCCACAUGCUAACUUGGAAGGGGGUAGCAUUCUGCCAAGCUCCAUCCACAAAUGAAAUUGUGUAUUUAAUGUAUCCUCCUUGUAGGGGACAGUGAAGACUUUCAACACAUUACCAUACUGUUUGGGCUAACUUCUGUCUUCAAGACUUUGAACAUAUCUCCUGAGCUCCCUACAGUCACUUUCAUUCCUGGUUGGUUAAUGCUUGGCUCUUCUUAGGUUGAAUGAAAACCUAUUCAGUCUUUCUCAGACAAAACUCAUCAACAACAAGAGUGAUGCACCGCAACAGGAUUUCUCAGCACCAUUUCACUGAAACAAUAAUGAUGGCAUCAUGUAUUUGAAAUAGUAUCUUGCUGAAAUGAAUGUGAAGGUUUGUAAGGAUUGCUACAUGUGCUGUAUGGUCUGAGAUGGAUACCCUCUACUCUGCUGGUGCAAGGGGAAAUGCAAGAGAUCUCUGCUCCUGGGUGAUUUUGUCAAGGCUAUCAUAAUAAGCAGAUGAUUGGAAACACUGGCAAAAGCUUCAACUUUUUAUUUAAAUUGAAUUGAAAAAAAUGGUGCCUAACAAACUUGCUCAGUUUAAACCUUAGCUUUGUAACCUGCUGGUAAAGACAUCUUUAGAUGAGGUAGCCAUGAACAACUGAGCAUAGUUCGGAAUCCAAAAUGACUUAGUCUGUUGAGCUACAAUGACAAGUCAUUUUUUCAUUAGUAGUUUCUUUGCUGAUUCCAAUAACUCCUGAAUUUGUAAAUUCAGGUCAUCUCAUUUGAACCAUACAUUUCAAGUGAAUAUUAAUUUGAUAAUUUAAACUUCAACACUACCACAUUGGUGUAUAGUGUAUAUCUUUAUCUGUCUAUCACUUUAAAAACAAGUCCUGAAUUUUGUAAAUGUGUAAAAAUACAAAUAAGUCAAUGCAUGAACUUCCCAGCCUUCUCAAUGCUGUUUUAAUUCCACUACUAAACAAUAUCAAUAAGGAUUAUUUUGCUAUUUGCCAAGUCAGAGAUCUAGAAAAACUAAUGGAAAGGUCAUAUUUUAUACGGCUACUAAGUUGUCUGAGGAAUUCACCAAUUCCCUGAGUUUAAUUUUUUUUUUUUUUUGUACUGAAAGGUUAAUUCAAAUGACAAUAUGUUCUAUUCGUGUUUACAAGGUAAAAAAUGAAAUAAAAGGCAUUCCCUUACAUAAAAUGACAGGUAAAAUACCAAUUUUGUUAGGGAUAGCUGGAGAAUUUCCAGAACAAAAACCUUCAAUUCAUCUGUGAUUUAUUUUUUUUUCCCUAAUGAAUAUAAAAGGGGUUAGCAAAUCAUUUAUUUUCAGAAGAAGUUUCCAAUUAAAGCUAAAAAUAUAUAUUUAUCAGAAAUUAAAACAAAUCUGUCUUUAGCGAUUGGAUAAAUAUUGGGCUAGAUCUCUAUUUAAAAACGUUUUCUUAAAUAAAAUGGGCUGAUAUUCACUUGAAUAAAUAAUAACUGACAUCUCUGAGAGUCAGCUUAUUCAGUUAGGUGUACCUAAAGACCCUCUGAGGUUAUGGCAUCAGCAGAUUGGUCUAAGAAACAAACACCCCUGUUUCCAGUCCUUUAGCCCAACCCAGAGGAUCCGGUGUCCUCUGGGUUGGGCUAAAGGACUGGAAUCCUUAUAUGAUCCAGAGAUCAUAUCUCUGUUUGCCAGAUGUAGUAGUUCCCAGCCUUUCGAUCAGCUCCAUGAAACUCCUGGGAAUUUCACCCCGCAAACAAACUGUAAAGAUCUAGCAGCUAUUAAGCUAUUGACUAACUAGAGAUGUUCAGGCAGUGUACUUACAGACAGCGACCAACAACCAGUUGGAGACAAUCAGGCUGAUUUUCCUGUGGAGUGGGAGAACAUCACUGAUGACUGUGCUCAGAUGUGACUCCCCAGCAUGUGGGAUGUUUGAGGAAAAAGAAGGGUAUGGCAGGGUUGAUUCUGUAGCCCUGAAUGAGGUCACUGUUUGUUUAUCCAUGAAAAUGGAGGUCAGCCUUAAGUCAUAUGAAGGUAUAGAAUGUUUAAUCAUCAUCACCUUCUCUGGAGAGGUUUUUGUCCUCCACCCCCUUCCCUUCUUUCUCCUGCUCCUCUCUGUUCUUCUUCCUUUCUGAUGGUGUGCAAGGAGUCAAGUUCCUCUGAAGUACCUCACAUCCUCACCUUAUCCAUCUCUUGUUGAGACAACCAUGCUUUCUCUCCCAUCUUUAGUUGUGUUGCAGGUACCUUGAUUCAGUUUUGUCUGACUCAAUCACUCAGCUAGCUUCCUUUGCCUCAGGACAGUCAUUGUCAAUGGCUUUGGGGAAUCUGUGCUGGAGCACUGGAGCACAGCAGUGAUGUGGUUUGCCUGAACUAUGCAGGGCAUGGUAAGGGUUAUGAAUUUUUGGCAUUUCCCCCAUGUUUUUCCACGAGCAUGGCCCAGAAAAAGCCUCCAACUAAGCAAUGUAAACAUUUGAGGAAUGUGACCUGCAGAGUGCUGCCACAUGCCAUGUAGCAGGAGAGCACAGAUACAGCCAAUGAUUUGAGAUAGACUGUCUAACUGAGCACACUGCUUCACUGGGGCUCACGUUUGCAAUGCUGUACAAUAUUUUCGUUAUAAAAUAACACACAUAUCAGUAAUAAAAUGAAAGCUUCUGUGGCAAGUGAUGAGAGUUAAAUUUCUGCAAGUAAGGAUCAUGACAUUUUUUGUCUGAAAGCAUUUAUAGGCAGUAUUAAACUGAUUAAAGGAUGUAAGAAAAGCAUAUCAUUUUUAAAGUUUCAGCAUUUCUGAGAGGCCCAUGAAAUCACAAUUUCAACCCACAGCCUUCUUAAGACACUAAAAACAUUCCUUUUUCUCAUCAGAAUGUAAGUAAAACCUUUGAAGAGUAGGAGAACUGAAGUAAAAGAUCAGAAGAAGUAAAAGACCCAUGGAGAACAAGAAGUAUGUAGGGCAUUUGCUUGGCAAAUCAGAAACAGGUAGUCAUUUUAGGGCUCUGCCUUAUUCAGGCUGGGGUUUAAUCCUCAUUGGAAUAAUGCAGAAUAGAUCCUCUCAUUUUAACCUAUGUCCAUUUAGAAACUCUGAUAGGAUAAGGAUAUUAUUAUUUACUAUAAUUCACUGAAUACAUAGUAAGCGUAAGCUCUGAUAAUCUCACUGCAUUUCUGCACACCUUUCCUUUGAAAAAGCUUUUCUUGUCAAAAGUAGGUUUUGAACUGGUAGCAUCAUGGAACUGGUUGGAAUUCCAGUGAAUAAAUAAGAAGUCCCUCCCCAAAUACAAGUUUAUAAAAAUGAUUCGUUAAUAAUUUGAAAUAAAUGAAGCUUCACUCUGUCCAGAUGUAACAGAACAAAAAGUAGAAAAACAAAGUACAACUAAAUACAGAUAUCCCCUGCCUUAUGUUGGUACAACAGUCUUGAAGCUAGUGUUUUUCAGUCCUAAAAUAAUGAGUUUUGUGUGCCUGCCCCCAGUACGUAAAACAUUCACACAGACAUGUAAACUGUAAGAAUAUAUGGCACAGUUGCCUGACGUGAGUAUUUCAGACAAAAGUUUUUAGAAUGCCUAAAUGUAAGUUUUCUGAAUAUUUACUUCUACUGACAUAACAUAUUUCCCUCUGUAGAAGCCGAUGGCAACGAAUUCAUUAUUUAAAAUGGAGCCGUCAUGAAGCAGCUGAAGCUCUUGGUAAUCCAAUCCUCGAUUAACACAUCAACAAUCAGUAGUUUUAUUGUUGUGAUGGGCCCUUAUGGAGUCAUAAAUUCACAUCAGUAGUGGUGUUAUUCAGAGGUUAGUAGCUGCUCCAGUAUUUCCAAUUUUGUACUUUCCCAAACUAAUUGUCAUGAAGAUAUGUGGCAUUUUAAAAUACUGUGGAGCUUGAUUACCGCAAACCCAUGGAUAGAAAUCUAUGGCUUUGUCAAUUUGCCCAAGCUUAGCAUUUGAUCCAUUGUACAGAACAGAUCCAGGCAAACAGAAAACUUAAAGCAAUGAAAGAGGAAACCAGUGCCAGUAUUAGAAAGACCUAUCCAAUCCAGUAAUUCAUUUACUGUCAGAAUAGAAAAUGAUAUAUGAGUCUCUGGGUUAGGAUAUAGAAAUUUUAUCUAGAAAACAAGUUUUUACUGAUGAACUCAGCUAACAGAGCUGGAGAAAGAAAGCAAUCUGAGCUUGUCAUUGUCUUAGCUGAAAAAUAAAUAAGCAUUGAUGAGUAUAAUUAGAAGUGACAGGCACGAAAAUACUGUGAAAUUCAUAUACACUUGAAUGGAUACAAUUUUUUUUCUCCUUGACUACCUUUCAUAAUGUUUCAUUAACCUUGGUGGAUAACUUCAGCAAGGACAUUUAUUCACCAGAACCAAGGAAGUUGGGCCGUUGUGUAUUGGUUAUGUAUAAAGAUGUUUUCUGUUCUGCCAGGAAAGCUCCUCUUCCAUUCCCUUUCCUUUUUCCCUGGUUUCUUUUCUUUUCUCCUGAUAUUUUUUUGAUGCUGUGCAACUUCUUAAAAAAUAAAGGUCUUUAAUGUGUGUGUUCUAUAGCAAGCAGUAGAGUGCAAUCCUUUGACGCAUAUAUUCCAUGUCACCUUCUUCUUAUAUUUUUGCAUCACCUAACAUCACCUAACAUCUCCAUGGCCAUGGUAGAGUACUACCUCAUCUACUAGAUAAUUUUCUUUGACACAACCUGCCCCUAUGUGUCUACACAGCUGAACUGAAAUGCCUUAAAAGUUAGAAAACUGGGUAUUUUUGGCAUCCUUUCCCCGACUCCAAUCUUCUCUGACCCAGCUUCUCCAGUUUUGCUUUCUGACACUGCUGCAGUUCUGUCUAGGAACCUGUUGCUGUCCCCACUUCACCCCGUGCAAUUCACAUGAACCUAGUGUCUCCCAGCUUUCAGGCAAUGAUUCAUACCUCCUACCUAAGCCUUAAGCUGUCA